CUGCAGCCAAUUAAGCCGCCGACUGUGCUCUUUGUCUAUGAGGGCCCAGUGUGCCAUGGCUGCAAACAGUAGCCUCCUCGGUAGUGUAUGCAACCUGUUGAUUGUAUGGGUUGCCCUAAGGGACCUUGGAGACAAUC